ensembl:lncRNA novel transcript
AAAGCGCGGAAGGUCGCGGUCUCGGCUUCCCCGGAACUUUUUGCUCGCUUCGCCCCGCCCCCUUCCCAUCCCCGAACCCCGCUUUCCGGCCCGCGGCGACCGCCGGCAACUGUUGUGGCUGCCGCAUUGCUCCCGCCGGGCUGUAGCUGAGCGCGGAGCCCGUGGGGGCCGGUGAGUUUGAGUUCCUGAGAUCUAGUUGGUGAGAGACAUGAUGUUCUACUGGUUGCUGUCGAUUGUUGGAAGACAAAGAGCCAGCCCAGGAUGGCAGAACUGGUCCUCUGCAAGAAACAGCGCAUCAGCUGCCGAGGCGCGUUCCAUGGCCCUGCCCACCCAGGCACAGGUGGUCGUCUGUGGAGGUGGAAUCACGGGCACUUCUGUGGCCCAUCACCAAUCCAAAAUGGGGUGGAAGGAUAUUGUCCUUUUGGAGCAGGGCAGGCUGGCUGCUGGCUCUACCAGGUUCUGUGCUGGCAUCCUGAGCACUGCCAGGCACUUGACCAUUGAGCAGAAGAUGGCAGACUACUCAAACAAACUCUACCAUCAGUUAGAGCAAGAAACAGGGAUCCGAACAGGUUACACAAGGACAGGCUCAAUCUUUCUGGCCCAAACUCAGGACCGACUGAUCUCCCUGAAGCGCAUCAACGCAGGGCUGAAUGUUAUAGGUAUCCCUUCUGAGAUCAUCUCCCCCAAGAAAGUGGCCGAGCUUCACCAUCUCCUCAACGUGCACGACCUGGUGGGGGCCAUGCAUGUUCCUGAGGAUGCAGUGGUGUCUUCCGCUGACGUGGCUCUUGCCCUGGCAAGUGCUGCCUCCCAAAAUGGUGUUCAGAUCUAUGACCGGACAUCUGUUCUUCAAGUAAUGGGCAAAAAAGGUCAAGUUACUGGAGUGGAGACCGAUAAAGGACAGAUUGAAUGCCAGUAUUUUGUCAACUGUGCUGGCCAGCUAUUGUGGAUGCUGAUGGAAGAAUUUAUAUUCGGAACUGGCAGGGUGGCAUCCUGUCUGGGGGCUUUGAGAAGAACCCAAAACCAAUUUUCACUGAGGGCAAGAACCAGCUGGAGAUUCAGAAUCUACAGGGGACUGGGAUCACUUUGAGCCUCUGUUGAGUUCCCUUCUGAGGAGGAUGCCAGAAUUAGAGACUCUGGAGAUCAUGAAGUUGGUGAACUGCCCAGAGACCUUCGCAUCAGACAUGAGGUGCAUCAUGGGCGAGUCUCCUGCAGUGUAGGGCUACUUUGUCCUGGCAGGAAUGAACUCUGCUGGCCUUUCAUUUGGUGGAGGAGCCGGAAAGUACCUUGCCGAAUGGAUGGUACAUGGUUAUCCCUCAGAAAACGUUUGGGAAUUGGACCUGAAACGUUUUGGAGCCCUCCAGAGCAGCCGCACCUUUCUGCGCCACCGGGUCAUGGAAGUCAUGCCUUUGAUGUAUGAUCUGAAGGUUCCCCACUGGGACUUCCAGACCGGUAGGCAGUUACGCACCUCUCCUCUCUACGACCGGCUGGAUGCACAGGGAGCCAGGUGGAUGGAGAAACAUGGAUUUGAGAGGCCAAAGUACUUUGUUCCCCCUGACAAGGGUAAGAAGUCACAUUCUCAUUUUUGCUCCUUUUUUUUUUUGUCCUGGGAAUUAAUAAAACGUAUUUUCAAAUGCAUAGGCUAGAAUGUGUUCACAGAAGAAAAAGAACCACGUGGACUACACUAAACUCUACAGGGCCUUGUGAUUUUUCCAUUCCGUAGACCUCCUGGCAUUGGAGCAGAGCAAGACUUUCUAUAAGCCAGAUUGGUUUGACAUCGUGGAGUCUGAAGUCAAGUGCUGUAAGGAAGCUGUGUGUGUCAUUGACAUGUCCUCUUUCACAGAGUUUGAGAUAACAGUAAGUAUUUGGGAACCAAAGUAAUAGAUUAGGAAACUUUGCAUAUUUAUUGAAUGCCUUUUGUUUUUCAUCUUCAAAACUGAUUCCUGACUGGGUGCAGUGGGUCAUGCCUGUAUUCCCAGCACUUUGGGAGGCCAAGGGGGGCGUGGAUCACCUGAAGUCAGGAGUUCCAGACCAGCCUGGCCAAGAUGGUAAAACCCCGUUUCUACUAAAAAUACAAAAAUUAAGGCCAGGAGUGGUGGCUCAUGCCUGUAAUCCCAGCAGUUUGGGAGGCCGAGACGGGUAGAUCACCUGAGAUCAGGAGUUCAAGACCAGCCUGGCCAACAUGGCGAAACCAUCUCUACCAAAAAUACAAAAAAUUAACCAGGCAUGGUGGCGGGCACUUGUAAUCCCAGCUACUCGGGAGGCAGGAGAAUCGCAUGAACUCAUGAGGUGGAGGUUGCAGUGAGCUGAGAUUGCGCCACUGCACUCAGCCUGGGCAACAGAGUGAGACUCCAUCUC